UACGUAGGGUGCGAGCGUUAAUCGGAAUUACUGGGCGUAAAGGGUGCGUAGGCGGUUCGUCGCGUCGGCUGUGAAAACCCGGAGCUCAACUCCGGGCCUGCAGUCGAUACGGGCGGACUUGAGUGUUGCAGGGGAGACUGGAAUUCCUGGUGUAGCGGUGAAAUGCGCAGAUAUCAGGAGGAACACCGGUGGCGAAGGCGGGUCUCUGGGCAACUGACUGACGCUGGAGGAGCGAAAGCGUGGGGAGCAAACAGGA
rnacentral:rRNA from 1 species